rnacentral:lncRNA from 1 species
CUUCUGGAAGAGCAGGAGGAUGGAGCUUACCCUGCACCACCAGACCCUGCACCUGAGACAGUCUCAGCAUCCAGAAGAGAUGGAAUAGUUGCAGGCCAUGUGGGCAGACACAGAGCACCUUUUGUUUUGUUACUGACAAGGAGCACCAA